rnacentral:rRNA from 1 species
CUACCAGACUCCUACGGGAGGCAGCAGUGAGGAAUAUUGGUCAAUGGGCGAGAGCCUGAACCAGCCAAGUCGCGUGAGGGAAGACGGCCCUACGGGUUGUAAACCUCUUUUGUCAGGGAGCAAGAACGGAUACGUGUAUCCGAGCGAGAGUACCUGAAGAAAAAGCAUCGGCUAACUCCGUGCCAGCAGCCGCGGUAAUACGUAGGUGGCAAGCGUUAUCCGGAUUUACUGGGUGUAAAGGGCGUGUAGGCGGGACUGCAAGUCAGAUGUGAAAAUUAUGGGCUCAACCCAUAACCUGCAUUUGAAACUGUAGUUCUUGAGUGAUGGAGAGGCAGGCGGAAUUCCGUGUGUAGCGGUGAAAUGCGUAGAUAUACGGAGGAACACCAGUGGCGAAGGCGGCCUGCUGGACAUUAACUGACGCUGAGGCGCGAAAGCGUGGGGAGCAAACAGGAUUAGAUACCCUCGUA